GAUUGAAGAACGCAGCAAAAUGCGAUAAGUAAUGUGAAUUGCAGAAUUCAGUGAAUCAUCGAAUCUUUGAACGCACAUUGCGCCCGCCAGUAUUCUGGCGGGCAUGCCUGUUCGAGCGUCAUUUCAACCCUCAAGCUCAGCUUGGUGUUGGGACUCGCGGUAACCCGCGUUCCCCAAAUCGAUUGGCGGUCACGUCGAGCUUCCAUAGCGUAGUAAUCAUACACCUCGUUACUGGUAAUCGUCGCGGCCACGCCGUAAAACCCCAACUUCUGAAUGUUGACCUCGGAUCAGGUAGGAAUACCCGCUGAACUUAAGCAUAUCAAUAAGCGGAGGA
rnacentral:misc_RNA from 1 species